GCUGGCGGCACGCCUUAUACAUGCAAGUCGAACGAAGUAGCAAUACUUAGUGGCAGACGGGUGAGUAACAUGUGGGUAUCUUCCCUUUGGUGAGGAAUAACACGAGGAAACUUGUGCUAAUACCUCAUAAGUCUUUACGGAGAAAGCUUUAUGCGCCAUUGGAUGAGCCCGCACUUGAUUAGUUAGUUGGUAGGGUAAAAGCCUACCAAGACUGUGAUCAAUAGCUGAUUUGAGAGGAUGAUCAGCCACAUUGGGACUGAGACACGGCCCAAACUCCUACGGGAGGCAGCAGUAAGGAAUCUUGCACAAUGGAGGAAACUCUGAUGCAGCGAUGCCGCGUGAGUGAAGAAGGCCUUUGGGUUGUAAAGCUCUUUCGUCGGGGAAGAAAAUGACUGUACCCGAAUAAGAAGGUCCGGCUAACUUCGUGCCAGCAGCCGCGGUAAUACGAAGGGACCUAGCGUAGUUCGGAAUUACUGGGCUUAAAGAGUUCGUAGGUGGUUAAAAAAGUUGGUGGUGAAAUCCCAGAGCUUAACUCUGGAACUGCCAUCAAAACUUUUUAGCUAGAGUUUGAUAGAGGAAAGCAGAAUUUCUAGUGUAGAGGUGAAAUUCGUAGAUAUUAGAAAGAAUACCGAUUGCGAAGGCAGCUUUCUGGAUCAAUACUGACACUGAGGAACGAAAGCAUGGGUAGCGAAGAGGAUUAGAUACCCUCGUAGUCCAUGCCGUAAACGAUGUGUGUUAGACGUUGGAAAUUUAUUUUCAGUGUCGCAGCGAAAGCGAUAAACACACCGCCUGGGGAGUACGACCGC
rnacentral:rRNA from 1 species